GCAAGGGGAGUGGCAGACGGGUGAGGAACACGUGGGAACGUACCCUUUGGUUCGGAACAACCCUGGGAAACUAGGGCUAAUACCGGAUACGAGCGAGAGCUGAAAGGUUUACCGCCGAAGGAUCGGCUCGCGUCUGAUUAGCUAGUUGGUGAGGUAAUGGCUCACCAAGGCGACGAUCAGUAGCUGGUCUGAGAGGAUGAUCAGCCACAUUGGGACUGAGACACGGCCCAAACUCCUACGGGAGGCAGCAGUGAGGAAUAUUGGACAAUGGGCGCAAGCCUGAUCCAGCCAUGCCGCGUGAGUGAUGACGGCCCUAGGGUUGUAAAGCUCUUUUACCCGGGAAGAUAAUGACGGUACCGGGAGAAUAAGCCCCGGCUAACUUCGUGCCAGCAGCCGCGGUAAUACGAAGGGGGCUAGCGUUGUUCGGAUUUACUGGGCGUAAAGCGCACGUAGGCGGACGCUUAAGUCAGGGGUGAAAUCCCGAGGCUCAACCUCGGAACUGCCUUUGAUACUGGGUGUCUUGAGUCCGGAAGAGGUGAGUGGAACUGCG
rnacentral:rRNA from 1 species